AAACCAUGGUGAGGGCAUUUCAUAGUGUAGCCUUUGAAGCGCUCCCAUGCUUCUCUGAAGCUUUCAAGUCCCUUCUGUGUAAACCCAGUGAUUUCAUUUCGGAGUCG
rfam:Brassica napus, WGS project CCCW01000000 data, contig: 119